AUUGAACGCUGGCGGCAUGCCUUACACAUGCAAGUCGAACGGUAACAGGUCUUCGGAUGCUGACGAGUGGCGAACGGGUGAGUAAUACAUCGGAACGUGCCUAGUAGUGGGGGAUAACUACUCGAAAGAGUGGCUAAUACCGCAUGAGAUCUACGGAUGAAAGAAGGGGAUCGCAAGACCUUGUGCUACUAGAGCGGCCGAUGGCAGAUUAGGUAGUUGGUGGGAUAAAAGCUUACCAAGCAGACGAUCUGUAGCGGGUCUGAGAGGACGAUCAGCCACACUGGGACUGGGACACGGCCCAGACUCCUACGGGAGGCAGCAGUGGGGAAUUUUGGAGAAUGGGCGAAAGCCUGAACCAGCAAUCCCGCGUGCAGGAUGUAGGCCUUCGGGUUGUAAACUGCUUUUGUACGGAACGAAAAGCCCCGGGUUAAUACCCUGGGGUCAUGACGGUACCGUAAGAAUAAGCACCGGCUAACUACGUGCCAGCCGCCGCCGUAA
rnacentral:rRNA from 1 species